rnacentral:rRNA from 1 species
GACGAACGCUGGCGGCGUGCUUAACACAUGCAAGUCGUACGGUAAGGCCCUUUCGGGGGUCCACGAGUGGCGAACGGGUGAGUAACACGUGAGUAACCUGCCCACAACUUUGGGAUAACGCUAGGAAACUGGUGCUAAUACUGGAUAUGUGCUCCUGCUGCAUGGUGGGGGUUGGAAAGCUCCGGCGGUUGUGGAUGGACUCGCGGCCUAUCAGCUUGUUGGUGGGGUAGUGGCCUACCAAGGCGGCGACGGGUAGCCGGCCUGAGAGGGUGACCGGCCACAGUGGGACUGAGAGACGGCCCAGACUCCUACGGGAGGCAGCAGUGGGGAAUAUUGAACAAUGGGCGCAAGCCUGAUGCAGCAACGCCGCGUGCGGGAUGACGGCCUUCGGGUUGUAAACCGCUUUCAGCAGGGACGAAGCUUUUUGUGACGGUACCUGCAGAAGAAGCACCGGCUAACUACGUG